GCAAUGGUGGUUCAGUGGUAGAAUUUUCCCCUUCCCUGCGGGAGGCCUGGGUUUGACUCCCAGUCAAUGCA
rnacentral:tRNA from 1 species